CAGCGAGGUCUAACCCUCAUUAAAGAUGAACGCGUUUUGUUGUUUUGCUGCCUCAUCUUAAGAGCAGCUUUUCUCCAGCACUCUGACAUCAUUUCCACUCUGGAGCGCAUGAAUUUGACUGCGGGGCUACUGCUGUUGUUGAUGACUUUAUACAGUGAACUCAUGGUGGUACGAAUCUCUGCCUGUGUGAAAUUUAACAAAGUUGUGAAAGUAUGCAAGAGUCGCCCAACUCUGGGCUGAUGUUUCUGAUGCCAAGGAGGAGUAGAGUAGUUCUGGCCAGGUUGAGGGGGGCAGAAGUUCUCUAUUUGGCUGAGGAACGUCAACCAUGGGCAUUUCCAAUGGCACCCAAAGGCUUUGCAGCAGCAGUGUGCAGGCAGACAGACCCAAGCAGAGCACAAGGCAACCACUAGAGGAUGCAAAAGACAUAGGGAAAUAGACUUUUUAA